rfam:Rivularia sp. PCC 7116, complete genome.
UAAAGCCGGAUGCUUGGUAACUUGCUUGUCCGGUUUGUCGGGGGGAAGGGGGUAGCGAUAUCCCUGACCCACCCAUU